rnacentral:rRNA from 1 species
AUGUAUAUUCCUAUAGAACUAAUGCACUUGAUCUCAUUAAAAAUACACAAUUAAGAGUGCUUGGGCUAGAGUAGCAUUAGGAUGGGUGCCCACCAGGGAAAUCCUAGUGUUUUACAUG